CCUACGGGAGGCAGCAGUGGGGAAUAUUGGGCAAUGGAGGAAACUCUGACCCAGCAACGCCGCGUGAAUGAUGAAGGUCUUCGGAUUGUAAAGUUCUUUUCUAAGGGAAGAAGAAAGUGACGGUACCUUAGGAAUAAGCCUCGGCUAACUACGUGCCAGCAGCCGCGGUAAUACGUAGGAGGCGAGCGUUAUCCGGAAUGACUGGGCGUAAAGGGGGCGUAGGUGGUUUGGCAAGUUAGUAGCGUAACUCCAAGGCUCAACCUUGGAACUACCACUAAAACUGUUGGACUUGAGUGCAGGAAGGGCGACCGGAAAUUCUUGGGGAUGGGGUGAAAUCGG
rnacentral:rRNA from 1 species